rnacentral:rRNA from 1 species
UAGAGUUUGAUCAUGGCUCAGGAUGAACGCUGGCGGCGUGCCUAAUACAUGCAAGUCGAGCGAAAUUAAAGGAGCUUACUCCUUUAAUUUAGCGGCGGACGGGUGAGUAACACGUGGGCAACCUGCCUGUAAGACUGGGAUAACUUCGGGAAACCGAAGCUAAUACCGGAUAACAUCUAAGAUCACAUGGUCUUAGGUUGAAAGAUGGCUACGGCUAUCACUUACAGAUGGGCCCGCGGCGCAUUAGCUAGUUGGUGAGGUAAUGGCUCACCAAGGCAACGAUGCGUAGCCGACCUGAGAGGGUGAUCGGCCACACUGGGACUGAGACACGGCCCAGACUCCUACGGGAGGCAGCAGUAGGGAAUCUUCCGCAAUGGACGAAAGUCUGACGGAGCAACGCCGCGUGAGCGAUGAAGGCCUUCGGGUCGUAAAGCUCUGUUGUUAGGGAAGAACAAGUAUCGUUCGAAUAGGGCGGUACCUUGACGGUACCUAACCAGAAAGCCACGGCUAACUACGUGCCAGCAGCCGCGGUAAUACGUAGGUGGCAAGCGUUAUCCGGAAUUAUUGGGCGUAAAGCGCUCGCAGGCGGUCCAUUAAGUCUGAUGUGAAAGCCCACGGCUCAACCGUGGAGGGUCAUUGGAAACUGGGGGACUUGAGUGCAGAAGAGGAGAGCGGAAUUCCACGUGUAGCGGUGAAAUGCGUAGAGAUGUGGAGGAACACCAGUGGCGAAGGCGGCUCUCUGGUCUGUAACUGACGCUGAGGAGCGAAAGCGUGGGGAGCGAACAGGAUUAGAUACCCUGGUAGUCCACGCCGUAAACGAUGAGUGCUAAGUGUUAGAGGGUUUCCGCCCUUUAGUGCUGCAGCAAACGCAUUAAGCACUCCGCCUGGGGAGUACGGUCG